GUGCCAGCAGCCGCGGUAAUACGGAGGGUGCGAGCGUUAUCCGGAAUCACUGGGUUUAAAGGGUGCGUAGGCGGGGAAUUAAGUCAGUGGUGAAAUCUUGUCGCUUAACGAUAAAAUUGCCAUUGAUACUGAUUUUCUUGAAUUGGGUUGAGGUUAGCGGAAUGUGACAUGUAGCGGUGAAAUGCAUAGAUAUGUCAUGGAACACCAAUUGCGAAGGCAGCUAGCUGGGCCUUGAUUGACGCUGAGGCACGAAAGCGUGGGUAGCGAACAGGAUUAGAUACCCCCGUAGUCC
rnacentral:rRNA from 1 species